ACGUGAAGUCUUGCUUGAGAAUGCUCGAAGCACUUGGCUGUAGAAGGUAGAAUGGAAAUUGUAACAACAAAAUCCUAACUCUAAUAGAAUACUAACUAAAUUUUAAUUAGAUCAUAACAAUGCUAAGCAAGCUUUAAUCAAAUUCAAAGAAACCUCAAACGAAUUAUAAAGAAAUAAUAAGAAAUCUUAAAAAAAAUACUAGAAUGAUCACAAAUAUAUCUCAAAUACAUCUUAAUUCAAACUUAAUUUAAUUCUAGUUAAAAUCCUAUCGGACUUUAUUAAAAUUUUAGGCCAAAAACUAACUAAAUCUUAAAUCCUAAAUAAAUCCUAAUAAAUCCUAAACCCUAAACCAAAUCCUAAUCAAAUCUUAAAUCUUAAAUCAAAUCUUAAUCAAAUCCUGAAUCCUAAACCAAAUCCUAAUCAAAUCCUAACCAAAUCCUAAAUCCUAAAUUAAAUCCUAACUAAACCCUAAAUCCUAAAGUAAAUCCUAAUGAAAUUCUAAAUCUUAAACCAAAUCCUAAUCAAAUCCUAAACCUUAAAUCAAAUCCUAAUAAUUCUUACAACAGAUUUAAACCUCAAUUACUAAUGAAUGAACUGUUGAUCUUAAUUCAAAAUUUUUACAUUUCUUAAAAAUUAAAUUAAAAAUAAGCAAAAAAAAUUUGAAAAGAAUCAAAAUUACCAAAUAGACGAUAGCCUCAAAAACAAGCUUAGGUAUUGGCCGGCCUCCUUUU
rnacentral:lncRNA from 1 species